rnacentral:rRNA from 1 species
UACGAAGGGGGCUAGCGUUGUUCGGAUUUACUGGGCGUAAAGCGCACGUAGGCGGAUCUUUAAGUCAGAGGUGAAAUCCCAAGGCUCAACCUUGGAACUGCCUUUGAUACUGGGGAUCUCGAGUCCGGGAGAGGUGAGUGGAACUGCGAGUGUAGAGGUGAAAUUCGUAGAUAUUCGGAAGAACACCAGUGGCGAAGGCGGCUCACUGGCCCGGUACUGACGCUGAGGUGCGAAAGCGUGGGGAGCAAACAGG